rnacentral:rRNA from 1 species
UACGUAGGUCCCGAGCGUUGUCCGGAUUUAUUGGACGUAAAGCGAGCGCAGGUGGUUUAAUAAGUCUGAUGUAAAAGGCAGUGGCUCAACCAUUGUGUGCAUUGGAAACUGUUAGACUUGAGUGCAGUAGAGGAGAGUGGAAUUCCAUGUGUAGCGGUGAAAUGCGUAGAUAUAUGGAGGAACACCGGUGGCGAAAGCGGCUCUCUGGACUGUAACUGACACUGAGGCUCGAAAGCGUGGGUAGCAAACAGG